UAUUUCUUUUUAUCUCAUUCAACAAAUGUCAUCGAUUUCAUUUGCGAAAACCAGCUCUGAGUAGAAGUAGAGAUUUUGGUCCAUACUUAAGAUUAACUCACGUUCUGUAUUUGGCUAGAGACUGUAACAGAGUACGAAGCGAUAUUGAGGCAGUAAGCUUGGGAAGAGCUUGCAGCCAGGAGCUUGAGCAAAAGUUGGUAUUUUUGUUUGUCUAUAAUGUGUAUAUCACAGGGUUAUCUGGGUGGUUUUUAAUUUCUUGCUUAACCCAAGCUUGGGUAGUUUAUUUUGCUGUCGUCCCAUGUCAUUUUGAUGUGUUUUGCUAUUGUAUAUAUGAGGGGAUUUAGUAGAAAGCCCUUGCAUGGUUUGUAAGGAAAACUUUGUUAUGCCGAGAUCGAACAGUCUGCAUCAUUUUUUUGGAUCUACUGCAUAUGAAACUUGUCUUGAUGUCAAUUCAAAAAGUGUUGGCAUGUAGAUUGUGGAACGUUUUGUUUUGCUUUAUAUAUAAAUACUAUGAUCUUGCAUAAUGUUUAAUAUUCGGAGCAUCCAAGAUUGCUUGUAAAAAUAAUUUCAUUUUUCUUUUUAUCUAUGUUCUGUAGUCUAGUCUAAGUUUGAACUGCACACUUUAUUAUUAAGAGCAUUUGAUUACUAUGUCUGAGUCAUAUGGAAUAGUUUACUGAAUGCCUCAUAGUAUGUAUGUUUUGGGAAUCUCGUUCUUAUGUAAAAAUGAUUUGAAAUAAAAUAAACUAGUGUACUGUUUAAGUGUCUACUCCUUACGAAUUGUUUAGCUCUCAAGAAUUGAAUGUUAAUUUUACUUUUGAUCAAGCUUUUCAGCAACCAAGUGUAUUUGAGUACAUUUCUUUAAAUUUUAUUUUGUGGUAACCAGAAUUCAGAAACUAGAGAACUUUACCUGACUAUGUUGGAGCUGCGGUUACAAACUUUUAUCUCUUGUUUCUACGCAUGCCAGUGCGGUGGUCUUUAAUCCUUUGUUGCUCUUUUUUAAAUUGAACACAUUCUUUUUAUCUUGUUCCGGUUCCGAGUGAUUUUCAUUAUACUGGAUCAUGGAAAUGAAAUGUGUCGUUUUAGUAUUCGAGUGUCGUUUUACUCCAUACUUGUGACAUCUACAUAUAUUUUUUUAUUUUUAUUUUUCAACCCAGUCGGAACCAUUUUACUUCUUGUUUUUAAAAUGAAUGUAUAUUUUUAUUUUAACUUCCCGAGUGACGUACCGGGGAUUCGGCUCUGCUAAUUCGGGUUGAAAUCAACCCGUUAGAGGGGGAAUUCUCUGGUCCGUCACAACCACUUCUCCUCACAAGUAGCAGGUACCCUCGUCCCUGUAAAGAGCUUCAAAACAAUGAUUUGUCAAGAACUGACGGCAACCGAACCAGACAAAGUUUGAGCAUUGACUACCAGGGCGUCACCGCGGCAACUUCGAACAUGAUGAGUGCAUGACCAGAUUUUCAAGGGUUUAGUCAGUUCAGGAAUGCUUCAUAUACUUCAGAAAAGAAACUAGCAAGCAUCUCGAAGCGAGCUCCAACAAUUACUAAGGGAGAUAGAUAGUUCGGGGCUAAGGUCAUGAACCACAACUAUUAGCGAGGCUAGCCAGUAUGAUCCUACGACAGCAGAGUUGCGAGGAAUACCACGACACGACGACAACAAUCAACCACCUUUGAGUCAAGAAUUGCUUUGAAACUUUGCAUAAGACUAGGGGCAAGUAUGCAUACUGCUACACACAAUUUGUAUUCUUCUGCUCGGUUCCUUCAGCAACAGUGUAGAGCUAUGAAGCUCACUGCAAUGUUUACCAGAUGCGACAUUAAGUCGAAGUUAUCAACUGGCCCCAGCAAAGGAUCAGACUCGUAUUGGAAAAGGAAAUUCAGUUAAAACAGAGGAAAGCGAUCCAACAUCAGAAAUUUACAAGUGAGAUAGUCUCUUCGAGGAAAGCGAUCCACCAUUGAAAGCAACAGUCAGCAGCUUUGCAACACAAUCACAAUAACUAGUCACCAAGGCCAGACCCAGUUGAAUAGCCUCUUCGAAUCAUGAACCAUCCGUAUUCUGUUGUUUCGGAUUCAACCCGUUAAGACAUUCCAGACACCAACACCAUCUUGAGCAAGUGUUAAAACAGCUGUCCCGAAGAAAACUGCUACCAUCCAGGAAUUUCAACUUCAGGUGCAAGCUUAAACCGUUACACCGAGCCAGAGGUAUACCCAAGAAUUUCAAACAACCCAAGGUGGACUUUUCUUACAAGGCGAGAUACUUGACUCCGAGCCGAUCAUCUACCUCACCAUACAAUUACAAUAUCAAGGAAAGCUAGAGCCGAUCAAUGAUGAAGAUAACAUUACCACUAAACCUACAAUUGAAGUGUAUAUAUCGAGAAGUACAGAUUACUCGGGACUAAAGACGGGUAAAACGCACAAAAUCCGAAGGCCUGCUACUCGAAGCCCAAAAUCAAGCAACUCUCAGCCCAACAAAAAGCACAGGUGUGUUUGGAAAAAUAAGGCUUUGUGGCGAAAUUGGCUAAAAACGCGGCAUUUGGACCU